rnacentral:rRNA from 1 species
GAAUUGCCCUAGUAACGGCGAGUGAAGCGGCAACAGCUCAAAUUUGAAAUCUGGCUCCUUUGGGAGUCCGAGUUGUAAUUUGCAGAGGGUGCUUUGGCAUAGGCGGCGGUCUAAGUUCCUUGGAACAGGACAUCGCAGAGGGUGAGAAUCCCGUACGUGGGCGCCUGCCUUUGCCGUGUAAAGCCCCUUCGACGAGUCGAGUUGUUUGGGAAUGCAGCUCUAAAUGGGAGGUAAAUUUCUUCUAAAGCUAAAUACCGGCCAGAGACCGAUAGCGCACAAGUAGAGUGAUCGAAAGAUGAAAAGUACUUUGGAAAGAGAGUCAAAAAGCACGUGAAAUUGUUGAAAGGGAAGCGCUUGCAGCCAGACUUGCCCGCAGUUGCUCACCUAGGCUUCGGCCUGGGGCACUCUUCUGCGGGCAGGCCAGCAUCAGUUUGGGCGGUUGGAUAAAGGCCUCUGUCACGUAUCUCUCUUCGGGGAGACCUUAUAGGGGAGGCGUAAUGCAACCAGCCCGGACUGAGGUCCGCGCAUCUGCUAGGAUGCUGGCGUAAUGGCUGUAAGCGGCCCGUCUUGAAACACGGACCAAGGAGUCUAACAUCUAUGCGAGUGUUUGGGUGUCAAGCCCGGGCGCGUAAUGAAAGUGAACGGAGGUGGGAACCGCAAGGUGCACCAUCGACCGAUCCUGAUGUCUUCGGAUGGAUUUGAGUAAGAGCAUAGCUGUUGGGACCCGAAAGAUGGUGAACUAUGCUUGAAUAGGGUGAAGCCAGAGGAAACUCUGGUGGAGGCUCGCAGCGGUUCUGACGUGCAAAUCGAUCGUCAAAUUUGGGCAUAGGGGCGAAAGACUAAUCGAACCAUCUAGUAGCUGGUUCCUGCCGAAUA